UGUUGAGCUUGAAAUAACAAGGUGGAGC
rnacentral:piRNA from 1 species